rnacentral:tRNA from 1 species
GCCCCCGUGGCGUAACGGAUAGCGUGCAAGCCUUCGGAGCUUGAGGUGAGGGUUCGAUUCCUUCCGGGGGCACCA